rnacentral:rRNA from 1 species
UACGAGAGGUCCAAACGUUAUUCGGAAUCACUUGGCUUACAGAGUUCGUAGGCGGUCCAGAAAGUGGGGUGUGAAAGCCCUCGGCUUAACCGAGGAACUGCGCUCCAAACUACUGGGCUAGAGGAAGAUAGAGGUGAGCAGAACUGAUGGUGGAGCGGUGAAAUGCGUUGAUAUCAUCAGGAAUACCGGAGGCGAAGGCGGCUCACUGGGUCUUUUCUGACGCUGAGGAACGAAAGCUAGGGGAGCAAACGGG